rnacentral:lncRNA from 1 species
UUCUCCCAUACUCCAUUUUCGCCAGCAUUUCGAAAUCGAACAUCCGAACUGCACUAGUUGGUUGCCGGGCGGUUUAGCAUCUAUGCAACUCUAUAAAAAAAAUAAAUGCAAGUGCUAAAUGACAUAGGACAACUUAAAGGGAUAGACCAAGGAAGGCGGAACUAUCUUGAAUUAUGGGGUUUGGGGUAUACUGAGUUGUAUUGGAGGUGGACCUGGAUGGUUUUGGUAAUAAAAUUGAGAAAUUAGCGAAUAGUGGGAGAGGGAGAAGGAAAGAGAUGAAAAGAGAGAGCAAGA